rnacentral:sRNA from 1 species
UGAUAUAGGUGUCAUAGACCAUAAUGCUUACAUGUUUACAUGUAUAUCAUUAUGGUCUAAUGACCCGAACAAAUAUGAGGAAAAAGCAAUUUGCGAAGCAAAUUAGCGAUUUCCGAAUAUUUGUAGAAUUGCGAGAAUGACGAAGUCAUGGAGCAAUUCGUAUAUCA